rnacentral:lncRNA from 1 species
GGUAACCUUGUUUUACUAUGACAAAAAAUCAACUUAUUGAAACAUAUAUUGCGAAAGCUACCAAUAUAUCUUCAUGAUAGCACUUCUCCAUUUCACUUCAAAUUGGAAUUUGGUAUCAACUCAGCUCGUUGAGGAAUCAACAUGCAUUUCAGCAUUUACAGAAAGUGAACAUACAUACAAAGGAGUUGAUCACUGUAUUUCUUUUUUUCCUUUUUUUUUUUGGACAAAAGGAGGCCCGGAGGCCACAUGAAAGUUCUGUAAUUAAUCACUUAUAUUGUCAUCAAGAAAGUUGAGAUCAGCAUCGUUGUCAUCAUCGUCAUCAUCGGUGGCUGCAUCAGUAAUACCGGGGUUAAUUUCCAAUGAUUCGACCACAUUGCCCAAACUCAUCAUCUCCAUUGAUCUCUUUCUAGGGUCAGCAUUCCCAUCUUCAAAAUCCAUUAAAUCUGUCUCGUAUGCUUCCCCCUGCUCCAUUUCGCUAUAAAGAAUUUCCUACAGCCAGCGAAUACGACGUCCAAUAUUAAAGCAGCAUUUUAAACAAAACCAUCGAGGCUAUUAAGCUCGUCUAACUGCAACAAAUGAUCUUUAUCCGCAAUUCUGAAGUUCUAAAUUAUAUGUUAUAAUCCAAUUAAUAACCAAUCUCUUCGCUUUCAACAGUUUCUAAGAUUCAUCAAGAAGCCGAAAAUAUGGCAUUUCAUUUUGUCACCGAAGUUUUUCUGUAAUACAGAACCAG